AUCAGUCAUCACGCACUUUGACAGUCCUUGAUGGCUCGAUCCAACGGCGGUGAGUCUUCCAUUUCAUAUGUGUUUCUUUUGCCAUCCGCUUCUCUACUCGCGCAUUAACGCGAAGAUCGCUUCGCCUCUCCCAAAUUUUUUGAAUGUCUCAAGCCAAUCUUUUUGAUUCAUGGACUUGGAUAAGGAAGUUGGAGCAGUUGACAUCUCUGUUGAAGAAAAAAAUGUUUCUGUAGAAGGAGAUGGAGUUCUAGAACCAUAUGUAGGCAUGGAAUUUGAUUCUGAAGAUGCUGCUAGGAAAUUCUACAUUGAGUAUGCCAGAAGGAUAGGGUUUGUUGUGCGUAUUAUGCAACGCCGUCGGUCUGGGAUUGAUGGAAGAACUCUUGCUCGUCGACUUGGAUGUAAUAAACAAGGUUUCUCUCCUAAACAUAGGAGCACGAUUGGACCAGAUAAGAAGCCACGAUCUAGUGCACGAGAAGGUUGCAAAGCAACUAUCCUGGUUAAAAUGGAAAAGUCUGGAAAAUGGGUUGUUACAAGAUUUGAAAAGGAUCAUAACCAUCCUUUGGUUGUUACUGCUAAUGGAUUCAGUACAGCGGGUGAUAAAGAUAAGAAAAUUGAAGAACUGACCAAAGAGUUGGAGCGUCAGGAGCAAUUAUGUGCAGUUUACAGAGAAAAGUUGCUUAGUUUUAUGAAUAAUGUUGAGGAGCAAACUGAAGAGCUCUCUUCAAAAAUUCAAGUUAUCGUUGACAAUGUGAGGAAAGUUGAAUCUGAAGUGCAAAAGUUUUCCCACCGUAGAUAGCCCUGGAAAAUGCAGACAGUGGUUUUUUUUCCAGAUUACUUCUUCGUUGAUUUAAGGGAAGUUUAUCCGAGUGAGCAAGUAUCGCUCCCAAAAUUUUGGAACUUCAGUUAAUAAAUGGCGUGAUAGCUCAAGCGCAAGGAGCAGUACCAGCAGCAUGUAAAUUUGCAAUGAACUUGAUCUCUUGCACUGAAAUUGGAGAAUUGAAUGUUAUGAAUAAGCACAAGUUAUACAACUGAGCAUCCUCUCUUUUGCCAACAAAAGUCAUACAGUUAGACAAUAAUUUUGUACAAAUGUCAUAUAAAUGGCACUCUCUAAUCUUUAAGCUAUCAAAAGUAUAGUUUUGGUCAUCUCUAUCUUAAAAAUACAAAAAUAUGUGCAACCUAGUGCUGUAUUAUUCCCGGGCUAUUGUACAUGUAACUAUCAAACUUCGGAUUGAAAUUUGUGAACAUUAUUAACGAUAGGUUUGGUUUUUCCUGAUUGUGGUUCAGUUUGCUCGUCAACAUUUUCUAGAAAAC